rnacentral:tRNA from 1 species
AUUUAAAUAAUUUAAGAAAAAAUAUUGAUUUGUGGAGUCAAAAAUAUGAGAUAUCAUUUUAAAUU